GCGGCAACCAAUCCAUGCUAGGCUCAAUGUGGAGUGACAGCAGCCACAUGGAGGUAUUCAGCAGAUACUGCCAGGAUGGAAGUCAAUAGAGCUUCCCUGCCCCCAGUAGCAGCAGCAAUGACACAUGCCAAGAGGUUUGUAUAAUAGUGACAAAAAUAAAAUAAGAAAACUAGAGGUGACAAGCAAUUAAAUACAGAAUGGACAAUCCUGUCCCACAAAACAAGCAAUGGCAGGCUUAAAAGUUCAGCAAGAUAUUCCUAAACAUUAAAUAUCUUUCUUUCUGCCCCCUACUCCCUUCCAGUUGGCUGCCUGGAAAUUCUUUAUCUCUAUUGGCUUUAAUUGGGCAAGAUUAUUUCACAUGGAUCAUUAGUUCCCUAAGUAGUUAAAUACUUGGCUUGCUUCUGGCUAUAAGGGCUCAUUAUAAUUUUACACUUCCAGACAGUGAGGGAGGGCCGAGAAGAUUGUUAUUUUUCAUGUUCUGGCUAAGUGCACCUGAGCUACAAUUUGCCCAGGAAAAAAAAACCUAUGAAAUAGAUAGGACCUUUAAAAAAUGAAUAAAUAAUCCAUUUCAGUCAUAUUUUUUAUUUAUAUAAAGUAACAAUCUUAAGAAUUAAAGGACCAGCUAAGUUGCUGAGGUAGACAGUUAAAGAGGGAUUUGUUUUUGUUCAUUUUUUACAAUUUAGCAUCCGGCUUUAUGACAUGUCAGUGCCAGAUUGCAAAUAAGUCUACAAAAGCUACUAGCCUGAAAAUUAUAUAGAUGAUAGAUGAUAGAUAGAUGAUAGAUAGAUAGAUAGAUAGAUAGAUAGAUAGAUAGAUAGCACUCCUAUUAAGAAGCUAGUAUCAUAGACUAGUAUCCUGCAUUUUCAUGCUGGUUGUGGAGUAGGAGAAGACUCCUACACAUAGGAACAUAGGCUCCUAGCUUAUGCCAGGCUCUUGGUUCAAGGCUCCUACUUUAAAUGUACUUUAAAUUUGUGGUGUGGAUGUGACCUAAAUUGCUGAAGAUUACCAUAACACCCAUUGUGUGGUAUAUCAUCAUACCCAUAAACAAUGGUCACUGUGUCCUCUUAAUUUCAAAAUGAAAAGUCAAUGUUUCAGAUUGCUCAGUAUACAGUAGCUUAUGACUCAUAGUCCCCAAUGAUAAGACAGAGUGUUAGCAUUCUUCUUUCCAAAGCAGGAUGCUCUGCCCUUGCUUUUAAAAUGGGGGGGGGGGGGUAGGUUAUAGUUUAAAUGCUCCAUAUACAACGAUUUUAUUGCAAACCUAAAUACAUAAAGGAAGUUGGACUAUGUGAAUAUUCACAAGCUGUUAUUUAAUUGAGCAUGCAUAAGAAGCAAUUAGCAAUGUCAAUUGUAAGAUUUUACUCUUCAUCGGUGAAUAAAUGUUUAGCCUAAAAAUAAAUGCUUAACUUAAUCUCCCUUUAAUAUUUCUGCAACACAGUUUCAAUUGAAACAAUAGGACAGAGUUCAGUUCAAAAACUUCAUGCAACUAAUUUGGAGAACUCGAACAUGUUUGUCUUCUAUGGGAAUAGGCAGGAGAGCUGAAAUGUUGUUGUUUUUGAAGCAGAAUUUCUGUAGUCUGCAAUGAGUGGAUGGAUGGAGGAGGCUUAGACCUUUGCAUCCCUGCUCAGCCGCAGAUUGAAGUAUAUGCAGCUGAGAUUAUUAUAAGCAAUGACAGCAUUAUGGCAGCAUCAUUCAUCCUUAUAGGAGUAUCUCAUAAUGGUACUACUUAGAAGAAAAAGUCUGAAGAUUGUGUCUGAUACACCGAUUAGCUUAAAAUAAUAUAUUUUCAAAAGUCGACAUUACCAUUUUACUCUGCUUUGGCACUGAGCUGUACUCAGAAUUCAUUGCAAAUACUAAUAAGGGUCCAGCAGGAAACCUUUCUGAAAGACCCCAAAAGGCCUCAGCUGUUCUUCCUUAGCAAGAUGACUUAUAUCAAGAUCAGACCGUCAGGAUAGAAAGCCUAUUAUCAGAUUGCUGGUUGCACAGGGAGGGUGGAAUGACUGUAAAUAAGUGCCACUCUUCUCCGACAGGACAGCCAGUGACCCUCAUGGCAACAGGCUGCAUCUCACUGAAAUGCGAACAAGGAUGCAGACAAGUCAGUAAACAAGAUGAUGAGAAUCUGAGGAUUCAAGAUAAAAGACUACAGCCAGUACUUUGAUCACGGGUCGAAUUCAGAGCCCAGAGAAUCCAAAGCUUGAACACUUUGUCUAGUUGCAUAAAUCCCACUGAAGACACACAUAGCUGAUGGGCA